CUUCUGUGAAAUGGGGAGAAUGCAGUCAGGGAAAGUUCCAGAAAAUCAGCAUGUCAGGGUGUGGAGGAGUGCCAGCCAUGGGAAACUGAUUUGUGUUGACCAAGCUCAUGGGAGUCAGCAUAUGUUCUAAGAAUAGAUUGGAAAGGAUGGAACUGAGGAAUAUUUCAGUGGAGGAAAGUUUGCUUGCAAGUAAAGUGAAACCAACAUAAAUAUAACAUAAAGAAGGCAUUUAUUGAGAUCUCCAACAUCACUGGGAAUUUAUUAGUUAAUUCUGCAGAUUUCUAUCAUUGAAAUUUUUGUGUAAAUCUAGCCAAGAGUUUGGAUUAUGGACAUACCAGUCUGGGUACAUGUCCUAAUGCUCACCUUCUGAUAUUUACUCGUAUUUGCUUUGCCUUAGACUUCUAAUCUGUAAGUUUGCAGUGAUGUUAUUGGGGAGAUUUAAUGAGGUGGCAUUUUCAAAAUGUUUAGCAUAAUACAUUUAAGGAAGUAAAAG